GUUCUCUCAUGUGUGCAGAUGUCUUGAUGCAAACUUGAUCGAGAUCCCAGUUUACGUUGAGACUCCAGAUCAGCAUUAUUAUCAUCUUGCAUUUUUCACAACAAGAGACAUCGAGGCAAUGGAGGAACUCACAUGGGAUUAUGGCAUUGACUUUGACGAUGAUGAGUCUCUUAUGAAACCCUUUGAAUGUCUGUGUGGUAGCAGAUUCUGCAGGAACCUGAAGCGAUCAAAGAGGAACAAGCAGAUAAUGAACAGAGCCUGAGAGGAUAAUGAAGAAGAAAAAUGACAUAAGACCUAAUGUAUUUUGGUGAAUGGGACUCUCUCUUAGUUAACAAACCGGUCCCGGUCAGUUGAUUUUGUAGGUUGAACAAAAGCUAAGUUACUUAUUAUGAGAUCAAACUCUGCAUAACUUGAGGUCUUGUAACUUUCAUUAAAUUAGAAGUUUGGCUAAUCUUAAAC